rnacentral:rRNA from 1 species
UACGGAAGGCAGCAGUGGGGAAUAUUGGACAAUGGGCGAAAGCCUGAUCCAGCCAUGCCGCAUGAGUGAAGAAGGCCUUCGGGUUGUAAAGCUCUUUUAGUGAGAAAGAUAAUGACGGUACUCACAGAAGAAGUCCUGGCUAACUCCGUGCCAGCAGCCGCGGUAAUACGGAGAGGGCUAGCGUUAUUCGGAAUUAUUGGGCGUAAAGAGCGCGUAGGCUGAUUAGUAAGUUAAAAGUGAAAUCCCAAAGCUUAACUUUGGAAUUGCUUUUUAAAACUGCUAGUCUAGAGAUUGAAAGAGGAUAGAGGAAUUCCUAGUGUAGAGGUGAAAUUCGUAAAUAUUAGGAGGAACACCAGUGGCGAAGGCGUCUAUCUGGUUCAAAUCUGACGCUGAGGCGCGAAGGGCGUGGGGAGCGAAACAGGGAUUUAGAUACC